GACGAACGCUGGCGGCGUGCUUAACACAUGCAAGUCGAGCGGAAAGGCCCUGCUUUUGUGGGGUGCUCGAGUGGUGAACGGGUGAGUAACACGUGAGUAACCUGCCCUUGACUUUGGGAUAACUUCAGGAAACUGGGGCUAAUACCGGAUAGGAGCUCCUGCUGCAUGGUGGGGGUUGGAAAGUUUCGGCGGUUGGGGAUGGACUCGCGGCUUAUCAGCUUGUUGGUGGGGUAGUGGCUUACCAAGGCUUUGACGGGUAGCCGGCCUGAGAGGGUGACCGGCCACAUUGGGACUGAGAUACGGCCCAGACUCCUACGGGAGGCAGCAGUGGGGAAUAUUGCACAAUGGGCGGAAGCCUGAUGCAGCAACGCCGCGUGCGGGAUGACGGCCUUCGGGUUGUAAACCGCUUUCGCCUGUGACGAAGCGUGAGUGACGGUAAUGGGUAAAGAAGCACCGGCUAACUACGUG
rnacentral:rRNA from 1 species